GCUGGAUGCUCUUGUCUUCCAGGUGAGACUAGCACCUCUGUAAAUCAAUAUGCCAUUGGCAGAACCAGUGGCUUUACUCGCAGGGGUCUGGGGGCCGUGUCUACCUGUGCUCAGGAAGAAAGCAGGGCACAGCCCUAACAGCCAGACCAGUCCCCAUGCCCUCUCCUUUGUGUGGUUCAGCUGUCACUGGCCUGGUCAUUCCAGGCCAUAGGCUAGGUGACUUUUAGCAGUUAUCCAGAGAUCCCAAUCCUGCAGAGCUAAGGGUUGCUAAUGGCUCAGUAAUACGUCCUGUGUGGGAUGUCAAGAGAGAUGGCCGAGGUCCAGUGUGGGAAAUUAGAUAAAGACCAAGGCUGUUGGAAGACCUAGAAGGCUCCCUAUGUUGUCUGUGCUACAUAACAAACUACCCAAACCUUAGUGUCUUCAGGUACCUACAUCUGACAUCGCAGAGAUGCCACUGGGUGGGAGACUGUGCACCAUUUGCCAGGCUCCUCUGCAGGAGCUCACCAGGAUGCAGGCAGGGUGUCACCUGGACUGAGUUCUUGUCUGGAAGUUUGAAUGGGAAGAUCUACUUGCAAACUCCCUCAGGUCGUGUGCAGAAUCAAUGUCCUUGGGGCCUUAGCUGCGGUCUCUGUUGAGUGCUGGCUGGUGGUAGCUCACAGCUCCUAAAGGCCUCUGGGAGCUCCUUGGAGGUGCACCCAGGUGGUUGUACCUUGGUCCUUUCACAGCAUGGCAGCUAAGUCCUACAAAGCCAGCGACAGAGCCUCUUCUACCUCGCAGCACUAAGACAGAGGUUUAUGUGGCCAAGGGAGUGACCACCAGGUACCACUGCUGUGUCCUGAGGGUUAGAAGCAAAUCACAGGCUCUGAGUGCUUGAGAAGGGAGAGCAUAGGCAGUGGGCACUGGGAGGGUCCCUCAGGAUGUGUCCACUGCACUCUGUCACAGAGAUGGGAUGCAAUGAAAUCUGUUGAAGGAUCAAAAGAGGAAGAUGGAUGUGGGAGGUGGGUCCAGGGAGGUUCCCAUGGAACUUAGUUACACCCCUCACAGCACACAUUCCACGGGCCUGGGUGUGUUUAAAGGGAAUGAUAGUGUGGACUAGGUCUUGGCACUACCCACUUCUCCAAGCAUGCCUUCCCCUGGGCACUGGGCGGUAGUGUACAGAACUGAACAGUCAGGCCUCAGGUGGGUGGUAGGUGGGUGCUGACCUCCUGGCUACUGUGUCCAUCCAGGUCAUUGCCAAGGUGCAGGGUCCCUGACAUCCCAGUGGAGCCAGCCCCAGGCCCACAGUGAAGACGACACAGGGACUGGAUUUCCAGGGGCCACCUCUUGGUGCUGCUCACUGAGAUGCGAGAGCCCAGAGGCCGAGGUGACCCAGUGCCCGUUGCUCAAUGUGCCCUCUCUAGUCAGAGGGAAUUCUGUCUUUUGGGGGCUUUCCUGGGAAGUCUGUUCUAAUCUGUAGUGCCAUCUGCUUGCCUGGCUGUAAGCCGAGUGACUUUAUUAAAACUCAUGGGAGGCUUCCCUUGCUCUCCUCUGAGCUCAAGCCAUGUCAGAAAAGAAGGGCUAGAGACGAGGACUUCAGUGCUAAUGGUUUGGGGAGGUGGCCCUGGGAAGAGUGGGACAGUGGACCAGGGAAGGGAAGGAAGCUCAUGCGCUGUGUGUUGGUUCCUGAGGCCUGGCCCCAUGGGGACCCCUGAGACUGCCAAUGUGUCCCCGGUGUCAUCUCAAUCACAGGGCAAGAAGGCAGGGGGCCCCUUUUUCCAAUUCUUGCCCUUGAGUGGGGGAGGAGGCCCCCGGAGCCCCUCUCCCUAGUGCCAUGGCCCACGGGAAAGGGUGCCCGAGGGCUGAGGUUGCUUUGCAGAUGUCGGUAGCAGAUGCCCAUCAGGCCCUGAAGUGAGCCUGGGGCAGACUGCCAGGCCCACCCCGCCACAUCAAUAAGGGAGCUGGUUCACGGAGCAGGGCCUUUACUUGCUGCUGGGUUUGGUUUGCUCCUGUUGACAUCGUUCUGCAUUUGUGGGCACGGGGACGUCCAGGGUGGGCUUCCCUUCUGGGGAUGCCUCCCUCUUGCUGUGAUAGCAAGGUGACGGGAGCCUCAUAGAAUGAGCUGGAAAGCGCCCCUUCCUUCCUAUCUUUAGAUGGAGUUCGAGGAGUGUUUUCUUCUCCGUGUCAGUUCACACUCACUGGCAAAGCCGUGGUCUGCCCCUGGAAUUUUUCUUGCUGGGAAGAUUUUUUAAUUACUAAUUUGAUUUCUUUACUUGAUCAUGUAUAUUCAGAUUUUCUCUUAUUUUUUUGAGUUAGUUUUGGUACCUUGUGUCCAUUUCAAUGUCCCAUUUCAAAUGUCUAAUUUGUUGGCAUAAAGUUGUUCAAAAUCUUCCCUUAUAAUUUUUUUUUUUUAACUUUUUGUAAGUUCAUAGUGAUGUCCUUCUCUUCAUUCCUGACUUCGGUAAUUUCUGUUUUUCUUCUUUCUUAGUCAAUCUAGCUAAAGACGACACUUACUAGCAAUAGUAAGAGUCAAAACUACACCCACUCCAUGAACAGUGGUUCUACUGACGAAUAAUGCCACAUUUCCAACCGAGGGCUGCGGGCUGCUGCUACUUUGUGCAGAACCUUCUGGAACAUAGCAACAUGGGUAGAGCUGGUCAGUGCAUUGCGUGAGCCUGGAACCUUCAUAUCAGGGUGACAAGUGCAGUUUGAGAAAGAAAAACAACAAGCUAAGCUCACUUAAUAUGUGUAGAAAAGAUAAUCGAGACAGAAUGCUACUGACACCAUUUCUAAUUCUGUGAAGUAAAAUAAAGUCUCAGACACUUUAGCAACAGGCCAGGAUGGACUCUCCAGCUCUGUGACUUGCAGCUGGGUGGCCCUGAGAAACCAGCCUUGGAGGACCUUGGCUUCCUCACUUACUAAGAGGGAUGGAGGAGGUCACGUGCCCAGCUUUUUCUCAUUCAAUUUUGUCAAGGGGCUUGUGGGGUGCAUACAUUGCUCUUGGUUUUGGUGACCACGUGGGUAUGGUUUCGACCAGGGUGGUCUGUGGAGCUUAAGUAAGUAGAUGUGUGUCAGCACAGCAAGUCCCUGGCACACAGUAGGUGCUUAAAAAUAGAUUCCUACCUUGCAGCCCAGCCUAGAUCCAAACCCUCAACAGCCUGAUCUGCUUGUUUUCCACUUAUUCUCACCCCUCAAAUAUCACCUCCCCAGGGACCCUGAACCUGGCCACCCCCCAUGAGUGGCUCCCAUCGCUUACUUACACAUGCUCCUAUUUUAUUUUAGUGAUAAGCCUCUUUGCUCUCUGGAAUUCUCUUUUGAACAGUUCCCUUCUGAUGUUGCCCUUGCCUUUGACCGUGAGCUUCCUGAGAGCAGGUGCCUGCUGCCGCUACUCUGCUGCAUCCCAGCCUCUGGAGGAGAUAGUAGAAGAUGGGAAUUCACUUUCCAUCAAGGAGAUGGAAAUGCUGAUAGUCCUGACUCGAUCGCCACAGCGUCUGCAGUAUGCAGUGGUCACCCUGCGCCCCACAAGUGUGCAGUUAUCAUAGUCGAUCACGCACAGCUACGCGGCAGGAGAGCCUGGGUUUCCUUCCAUGUACUUGACUCCGGUCUCUUGGGGUGACUGGGAGGCGGAAUAGAGCCCAAGGACAGAGCAAUCCCCAAACGCCACGUCCUCCUCCACAGGCUGCAGCUCUCAGGUGGCCCUGGGCAGCGGGGCUGGCUGCUUCUUCUCUUCCUUUGCCCUAGCGGGGGACCAGGCCUGCCCUCGUCACCCUCCAUUCAGGGUGUCUCCAAUUGUGCUGCACAAGUUAAAACUGGAAACUUUCCUAAAGAUGGCUUAAAAUUGGAAGGUAGAAAGUAAAAACUUUGAAGAGGACUCUAAAUAUCCCAGUUUGUUUCACAUGCUUGAGAAAAGAAGAGCUGAGAUUUAAAAGCAAAACCAACGCCCAUUUCCCAUGAUGUGUCUGCCUGGCAGCCCCGCACUCCAGUUGUACACUGACCCACAACUCAUCCGUCCACUCGAGAGUGAGGACAUGUACAGAGAACUGAGGCAUCUGUCUGAUGCUGAUAAGUGCCAGGGUUAGCUCUGACCUGCUUUCACUUGGCUGCUCAUUUGGGUAGAGUGUCUCUGGCCACAUGGAGCAGAUGCAGCCCUGGCACGGGUUCAGAGCAGGGUUGUGUGAUUGCGUCUAGAAUAAGACAGCGUGGAGCAUAGCGGCACCCAGAGCCCUCACUGCCAUGGCCUGUGCAGGGACAGAGGGCAGAUGUGGGCCCAGCAGUGUGGAUACCAUAGACGAGAAUAUGCUGGCCUCAAGACAGAGUCCGUGGGGAGCUCCGAGGACCUCAAAACAGAGCUUCGGUGAGACCAAGAGUUCAGCUCCACAGAAGGAAGUGAUGGGCCUGGGUGGGGGACGUGGGGUGUGCAUCAGGUAGGAGGCAGGUGGGUGGGUGGGAGUCAGAUCAGGCAAGGGAGAGAAGCGAGGCCUGGCCUUGGCCCCCCGAAGGCCAGCACUGUGUUCCACUUUACCAACACUUGUGAACAGGAUGUGUAGAUGUGACGAGUGUGUCGAGGACACAUGUGCGUGGAAGUGGAGGUGCAUUGUCCACGAGUCUCUCUCACACACACAUUUAACUGCUUAAUAAAGUUCACCUUUUCUA